rnacentral:rRNA from 1 species
GACAGAGGGUGCAAACGUUGUUCGGAAUUACUGGGCGUAAAGCGUGUGUAGGCGGCUCUGCAAGUCAGGUGUGAAAGCCCCGGGCUCAACCUGGGAAGUGCACUUGAAACUGCAGAGCUUGAGUAUCGGAGAGGUUGGUGGAAUUCUCGGUGGAGAGGUGAAAUUCGUAGAUAUCGGGAAGAACACCAGUGGCGAAGGCGGCCAACUGGACGAAUACUGACGCUGAGACACGAAAGCGUGGGGAGCAAACAGG